rnacentral:rRNA from 1 species
CACAUGCAGUCGAGCGGUAACACAAGGGAGCUUGCUCCUGAGGUGACGAGCGGCGGACGGGUGAGUAAUGCCUAGGGAUCUGCCCAGUCGAGGGGGAUAACAGUUGGAAACGACUGCUAAUACCGCAUACGCCCUACGGGGGAAAGGAGGGGACCUUCGGGCCUUCCGCGAUUGGAUGAACCUAGGUGGGAUUAGCUAGUUGGUGAGGUAAUGGCUCACCAAGGCGACGAUCCCUAGCUGUUCUGAGAGGAUGAUCAGCCACACUGGGACUGAGACACGGCCCAGACUCCUACGGGAGGCAGCAGUGGGGAAUAUUGCACAAUGGGGGAAACCCUGAUGCAGCCAUGCCGCGUGUGUGAAGAAGGCCUUCGGGUUGUAAAGCACUUUCAGUAGGGAGGAAAGGUGAUGUGUUAAUAGCACAUUGCUGUGACGUUACCUACAGAAGAAGGACCGGCUAACUCCGUGCCAGCAGCCGCGGUAAUACGGAGGGUCCGAGCGUUAAUCGGAAUUACUGGGCGUAAAGCGUGCGCAGGCGGUUUGUUAAGCCAGAUGUGAAAUCCCCGGGCUCAACCUGGGAAUUGCAUUUGGAACUGGCGAACUAGAGUCUUGU